UGCGUAGGGUGCGAGCGUUAAUCGGAAUUACUGGGCGUAAAGAGUGCGUAGGCGGUUUCUCAAGUCCGCUGUGAAAUCCCCGGGCUCAACCUGGGAAUGGCAGUGGAAACUAGGAGACUUGAAUCUGGCAGAGGGGGGUGGAAUUCCACGUGUAGCAGUGAAAUGCGUAGAGAUGUGGAGGAACACCGAUGGCGAAGGCAGCCCCCUGGGCUGAGAUUGACGCUCAGGCACGAAAGCGUGGGGAGCAAACAGG
rnacentral:rRNA from 1 species